GCAACAUACAGUGACUUAUUAUAACACAAUGGCAUAUUUUCAAAGAGGUGGGGGAGACAAUAAUUAACAGAAAUUAUCUCACAUGCCUGCAGAAUUAGCAAUAUGCAAUAUUGCUGUUGCUACCAACAGAGGGCACUAGACAAGCUUCAUAGCCAAAUCCACCUAGUUGGGAGCAAACCUCAGCAGUACAAGAGAGCAGGCAAUGCAUCCC